AUGACGUGGAGGCUGUCCUCUCCCUCGCUGGGAUCCCUUUCGGGCCUGUCCUUCCCGAUGACAGACCAAUCACAGCGCGCCAAUUGGCUGCCAAGUGGCUGGACCGGUCAGCGCGCACAGUUUUGCACAAAAACCCCUGCCGUUUGCCUGAUUCAACCCGCGCCGCCUGCUCCCCUCGGCCGCCUCGCGCGACGGAAGGCUGCACCCGUCGAGGAGUUCCAGUGGCUCGGGCUGACGCUGUUCGUCGCCGUCCCGUUCCCAGGCACAGGAGCAUGGACCGGCGCCAUCAUCGCGUCCGUCCUGGGCAUGCCGUUCUGGUCAGGCUUGUCCGCCAACUUCGUGGGAGUGGUUCUCGCGGGGUUGCUGGUAAACUUGCUCAUGAACCUCGGUCUGAAGUACGCCAUUGGCACCGGGGUGCUCCUCUUCAUUGUAUCAACUGUCAUGUGGGGUGCCCUUCGGGGUGUGAAGAAAUCGUUGAAUACGAAAUGA
rnacentral:rRNA from 1 species